GGUCCCAUAGCUCAGUUGGUUAGAGCGGUACGUAGUUGGAUGUCUCCGAGAUGGUACAGAAUUUCCACUAAUUAAUCAAUUUCUCAGUCGUACUAAUGAUGCAAAGGCCGAGAGUUUGAGCCCUCUGGGACCA